UAGUCAUAUGUUAGGAGGGCAUAUCCGCCGAAUUUAAGCAUAUAAUUAAGCGGAAGAAAAGAAAAUAACUAUGAUUCCUUAAGUAACGGCGAGUGAACAAGGAUUAGCUCAAUGGGAAAAUCCAGCUUCUCACGAAAGUGAAGAGCUUGAAUUGUCCAGUUUUCGAAAUUCAUCCAAUUAUCUUCCAUAAUAGAAGCGAAGUAAGCAGGAAUGCUUCUCCUUAGAGGGUGAAAGGCCCGUAGUUUUCUUUUAUUUUUGAUUUUUGGUUGUCUUUCUUUUGAGUCGUGUUCUUUGAGAUUGGAGCACUAAUUUGUGUGAUACAUUUCACAUAAAGCUAAAUAUGUGUAGGAGACCGAUAGCAAACAAGUACCGUGAGGGAAAGAUGAAAUAGCACUCAGGAAUGAGCAAUUAAAUAGUACCUGAAAUCGUUAAGGUGGAACGGAUUAAGAGAGAAAACAAGUAAGAAGGGCAUGAUUCCUUUUUUUUGGAUUCUUUUCCUUUCUUAUUAAAAGAAACAUCAGUGAGCUAGGAUAAUUAAGAUAAAGUAAUACCUGAAAUUAGUUAAUUACUAUUUUAACUUUUCUCAUUUCUUCCCCACACUAAUGAGGGGAAAAAUUACUUUAUAUUUUUCUUAAAUCUAAAAAUUAUUCCAUUUACUGAGGUCUUUUUAAACAUGGUUUGAAUUCUUUUCUUUCCAUUUAAGUUGUUUCUAAACAGUACUUUCUUAACCCACUCGUCUUGAAACACGGACCAAGGAGUCUAGCAAAUGUGCGAGCGCGUAUGAUUUUAAUUAAACAUUUUAAUUUUCUUCUACGCAUAAUUAAUGUAAUACCUUAUUUUUGGUAGAUUAAGGGGAUGGGAAACUUUCCUUCUUAUGCAUACCAUACCGGUUGGCGAUAUAAUGCUUUAUUGAGUAUUAGCAUAUUUGGUAGGACCCGAGAGGCUUUGAACUAAGCGUGACGAGAUCGAAGUCAGACGAAAGUCUGAUGGAAGAUUGAAUUGAUACUGACGUGCAAAUCGUUCUUUUCAGUCACGUUUAGGGGCGAAAGACUAAUCGAAAAGCCUAUUAGCUGGUUAUUUUCGAAAGAUCUCUCAGGAUCGCUGGAGUUGAUUAAUAUAAUUUUACCAGGUAGAGAUAAUGAUUAGAGGAAUCAGGGAAAUCGUUUUCCUUGACCUAUUCUCAAACUCCCAAUGGGUAAAAAGAUUAAAAUAACUUUCUUGUAUUUUAAUCAUAUUUUUCUUUCAAAAUAAGAUAACUCCAAGUGGGCCAUUUUUGGUAAGCAGAACUGGCGAUGAGGGAUGCUCCUAACGCUUGGAUAAGGUGCCUAAAUAUUCGCUCAUGAGAUCCCAUAAAAGGUGUUGGUUCAUAAUGACAGUAGGACGGUGGUCAUGGAAGUCGAAAUCCGCUAAGGAGUGUGUAACAACUCACCUACCGAAUGAACUAGCCCUGAAAAUGGAUGGCGCUAAAGCGAAUUACCAAUACCAAGCCAUAGAAAGAACUUCAAAUUCGUAGUAAAUUUCUUUUUAUUAUGUAAUUUCUGUUAUCUUUCUAUGAGUAGAAAAUCGUGGGGUUUGUGUUGAAGCGAGAUACGUGAGUUCUUGUGGAACAUAUCCCUAGUGCAGAUCUUGGUGGAAGUAGCAAUUAUUCAAAUGAGAACUUUGAAGACUGAAGUGGAGAAGGGUUUCUUGUCAACUGUGAUUGUACAAGAGUUAGCCGCUCCUAAGGGAUAGCUGAAAAGUGUUUAUUUGGGUAUGUUUUAACGCGUUAACUACGUGUGCAUCUCUUUCUCGAAAGGGAAACAGGUUGAUAUUCCUGUGCCAAUGUAUUUUGAGUAAUAUUAAAGAUGGUAACAUAUAUAUAAAUGAACUCCUUCACGUAGGCCUUACGCUCGGGGUGCGUUUUCUUUGCACUUUACCUCUAUAGCUAACCUUGGAAUCAAUUUACUUGGAGAAAAGGUUCGCCGAAACAAUUCAGGAGAGCUUCUUAGUGAAACUUCUGUUUUGCUUUUUUGCUUUCCUGUUUUGUAGUAAAAGUAAUUCGUUUUUAUGAAUUAUCCGAAGUUGUAAGGACUACCCUUGAAAAAAGGAGGGAACAGCGAUUGGAAUGGGAAAAGUUCUGGUUCGCUUUUACUUUUUACAUUCCUUUUGUUAUACUCUGAAUAUCUGUAUGAGCGUACCGACAACCGCAUCAGGUCUCCAAGGUUAAUAGCCUCUGGUUAAGUAGAAAAAAGUAGGUAAGGGAAGUCGGCAAAAUAGAUCCGUAACUUCGGGAAAAGGAUUGGCUCUGAGGACAUUAGAAUAGAGAAGAAAGGAAAAUGUUUGAAAAUAAAGAUAUGGAUUUAUAUAUUUCUUUCAGAAUUCGUUCUGUUUACGUCUUAUAUAUUUCCUUAUUUUGUUUUUCUUAUGUUUCUCUUUCUCCCCCUCUAUUCGCCUUCAUUUGUACUUUUGCGUUUCGGCGUUUUUAGUACUCUUGAUACUUAUAUUGUUAACUCAGAACUGAAACGGACAAAGGGAAUCCGACUGUUUAAUUAAAACAUAGCAUUGUGACAAGCCAUAACUGGUAUUAACACAAUGUGAUUUCUGCCCAGUGCUUUGAAUGUCAACUUGAUGAAAUUCAAUCAAGCGCAGGUAAACGGCGGGAGUAACUAUGACUCUCUUAAGGUAGCCAAAUGCCUCGUCAUCUAAUUAGUGACGCGCAUGAAUGGAUUAACGAGAUUCCCACUGUCCCUACUUGCUAUCUAGCGAAACCACAGCCAAGGGAACGGGCUUGGCAUAAUCAGCGGGGAAAGAAGACCCUGUUGAGCUUUACUCUAGUCUGGCUUUGUGAAACGACUUAA
rnacentral:rRNA from 1 species